UGGGCUGUAUCUCAGUGGUAGAGAGCUUGCCUAGCAUGCGUGAGGCACUGGGUUCGAUCCCCGUCAUCACAU
rnacentral:tRNA from 1 species